AAAUUGAAGAGUUUGAUCAUGGCUCAGAUUGAACGCUGGCGGCAGGCCUAACACAUGCAAGUCGAACGGUAACAGGAAACAGCUUGCUGUUUCGCUGACGAGUGGCGGACGGGUGAGUAAUGUCUGGGAAACUGCCUGAUGGAGGGGG
rnacentral:rRNA from 1 species